GUGGACUCUCAAGCGUGAGGUAAGGGCAUCUGGUGAAUGCCUUGGCAUGUACAGGCGAUGAAGGACGUGGCACGCUGCGAUAAGCGUGGGGGAGCUGUGAGCAAGCUUUGAUCCCGCGAUUUCCGAAUGGGACAACCCACCUUCACCAUUUAAGACUGGUCCAGCGCGGAUUCCUUUAGGGGAGUUUGGGCUGGCCCCGUGUUAAAUGGGAGAGGUAUCACUAAGCUGAAUAAAAUAGGCUUUGGUGAGGCGAACCCGGAGAACUGAAACAUCUCAGUACCCGGAGGAAAAGACAUCAACCGAGAUUCCGUUAGUA
rnacentral:rRNA from 1 species